CAUAUACUCCCUCCGUCCGAAAAUACUUGUCAUCAAAAUGAACAAAAAAGGAUGUAUCUAGAACUAAAAUACAUCUUUAUUUAUUUAUUUUGAUGACAAGUAUUUCCGGAUGGAAGGAGUACUUU
rnacentral:pre_miRNA from 1 species